ACAAAAGGAGCAGUGACAUUCUCUUUUGAAACUAAGAAUACAGCCUAGUUAUGCAAACCUUAAUUGCUGCCUUAACAAAACACAGGUUUGGAUUGUUUUAAUUGGAUUGGAAAUAUGCUCUCCCUGCCCCCUGUGUCAUCAACUAAAUUAACACCUGGUUGUAAAUGCUCCCCUGCAGACAACACAAAUACUGAGUUUGGAGUCUAUGGAAUAUGUCUGAGGAAACACUUGGGCUUUGUGGACCAAGCUCUCAUUUUGCUGCAUCGUGUUAUGGCCUUCCCUAUUGGAAAUCUAAUCAGACUAAGAACGUGAUGUCCUCACAGAAUGAAAGCAGUGUUUUUGAAAUAUGCAUCCUUCCAACACUUCCCCAGCAAACCAAAGCAAGUUUAAUUUCUCUGUUGUUUGUUUAUCAUAGCAAUGUCACUGUUGCUGUCAUGAUAUUCCCAAUGCAUUAACAUCUCUUUAUCUUUUAUAUAAAAGAAUGG
rnacentral:lncRNA from 1 species